AGUGAACGCUGGCGGCAGGCCUAAUACAUGCAAGUCGAACGGCAGCACAGUGGAGCUUGCUCCAUGGGUGGCGAGUGGCGGACGGGUGAGGAAUACAUGGGAAUCUGCCCAGUCGUGGGGGAUAACGUAUGGAAACGUACGCUAAUACCGCAUGCGCCCUUCGGGGGAAAGUCGGGGACCGCAAGGCCUGACGCGAUUGGAUGAGCCCAUGUUCGAUUAGCUAGUUGGCGGGUAACGGCCCACCAAGGCGACGAUCGAUAGCUGGUCUGAGAGGAUGAUCAGCCACACUGGAACUGAGACACGGUCCAGACUCCUACGGGAGGCAGCAGUAGGGAAUAUUGGACAAUGGGCGCAAGCCUGAUCCAGCCAUGCCGCGUGAGUGAAAGAAGGCCCUCGGGGUUGUAAAAGCUCUUUUGGUCGGGAAGAAAGCGCCUUGCCUAAUACGCGAGGUGGUUGACGGUACCGGCAGAAUAAGCACCGGCU
rnacentral:rRNA from 1 species